rnacentral:rRNA from 1 species
UACGGAAGGCAGCAGUGGGGAAUAUUGCACAAUGGGCGCAAGCCUGAUGCAGCCAUGCCGCGUGUAUGAAGAAGGCCUUCGGGUUGUAAAGUACUUUCAGUCGUGAGGAAGGUGUUAAGGUUAAUAACCUUAGCAAUUGACGUUAGCGACAGAAGAAGCACCGGCUAACUCCGUGCCAGCAGCCGCGGUAAUACGGAGGGUGCGAGCGUUAAUCGGAAUUACUGGGCGUAAAGGGCACGCAGGCGGUUAAUUAAGUUGGAUGUGAAAUCCCCGGGCUUAACCUGGGAAUGGCAUUCAAGACUGGUUAGCUAGAGUCUUGUAGAGGGGGUAGAAUUCCAUGUGUAGCGGUGAAAUGCGUAGAGAUGUGGAGGAAUACCGGGUGGCGAAGGCGGCCCCUGGCAAAGACUGACGCUCAUGUGCGAAAGCGUGGGGAGCAAACAGGAUUAGAUACC